UUAUUUAGCUGGUCAGAGUAGUUGCCUUUUGUUACAUGUGGUCGAGUGGAAAUGAUUUUUGAAAACAAAGGAAUAAUUAUGAAAUAGGCCUCUAGCAUCACACAAGCCAAUAGGUUCCCAAUUCCCAGGCGAUUAAAAUUCUUUUGUUUUGUCCUCCAAAUUGAGAUCCUUUGAUGUCACAUGCAAAGGGUCUAUUGCAACCGAGUAGGUAGAAUACAAGGUCAACACGUGACCCUACCCAAGAAUCGGAACCAAGAAACAAGCGCUUGUGUCAAAUGGCCUGGAAGAAAGACAAUAUAUUCAAGAAGCUAGGGUUAGGCAAGCGUAUUUUGGUUCGGAGGAUUUAAGCAAAUCAUAUGUUGACAAAUGAAGCUAUAUAAAUAUAUCAAGACGAAUCAAUUCUUCAUUCUGAUCCUGAUUGGCUACUCAUAAUCAUAGUGGUCGUUUGCUCUCUAGUUACGGUUGCGUUAAUACUGGCUUUUAUUCUCUGCUUGAGAAAAUGGAAGCAGUCAAUACGUGACAUCGACAAGGGUACACAGUCUAUAGCCCAUGACCCAAUGCCAAAUCAGUUGGUGGAGGAGAGUCCGCAUGGAGAACCAGUUGAUGCUAUACGAGUGAGAAGCGUAAUUCACACAUCUGCAAGCAAUGCUGCUUAUGCCACCGUGGAAGAGACUGGCUACAAACCAGUUAUCACUUCUAAAACAGUACAACAACCAACACGUGAUGAGACAUUCAGUUCCAAGAAAGUGAAAUCUAACGUGGAACCCAUGUAUGCUAUAGUCAACAAAAACAAAAAGGUUGGUUUGCAUAUUUUU